rnacentral:lncRNA from 1 species
CUCUCGUUUCUUUCCUCCACGAUUCUUUCUCUUUCUUUCUUUCUUUCUUUCUUUCUUUCUUAUCCAAGCUAGUCGGAGAAGAAUCCAGCGAUUCCUCCUCUGGUCGAACCAUCGGUUUUAUUUAUCCGGUGAAACGCUCCUGCGAGCGUUUAAGCCCAGUCCGUGGUGUGGGCCAGGGAGUGGCGUAAAAAGGAAGUGGGUGUGAGCAUACGCGUAGCGAUGCGUGACGCUGGGCCUCGCGUGGAGCCAUUUUGCCAGGGAAAGAAAAGGGACCAUCUUUGAUCGGUGUCGGAAGAAAAUCGGCGUGGAAACAGAGAGAGAGAAAGAAAGAGAGAGAGGGAGGUGGAGAGAUUUUUGUCGCGUCAUUGUUGUUCUCGUUCCGUCGUUCAUCGUCCUUUCCAACCUCGAUCCUCGAUCGGAGGAUGUUUUGAUCCCGAUUGUUUACGCGAGCGUGGUGAUGAAACUUUGGCAAAAAUCGAGGUGGAACGAAGAGGGGUUCCCUCCGUUUUCUCGGAGUAAAGCGAUAAAAUCCGAAGGUCAUUCUCGCGGCGCGCAAUUCUUUUCGCGUCAUUUCUCUCUCUCUCUCUCUCUCUCUCUCUCUCCCUCCCUCUCUUUUUUUNNNNNNNNNNNNNNCCUUUCCUUGGCUUUUUUAGCCGCAACGAGGCCGCGAGCCUCGCCGGCAGACAACCUUCGUACGAUACUCGGUUACACCAACAAACAAAGUCUGUAAAAGAUAUAUUCGUUGACCGGUUGUCUCGCUCUCUCGCUGUACUCCGCCGCUGCUUUUUCGUACUUGGAAAGAGAGUUAUAUUUAUUUCGUUCGUCGUAUUCGCAAUUGCGAAUAAUAAAAUUCGAUUAAUUUUU